AAUCCAUAGGUUAAUGAGGCGAACCGGGGGAACUGAAACAUCUAAGUACCCCGAGGAAAAGAAAUCAACCGAGAUUCCCCCAGUAGCGGCGAGCGAACGGGGAGGAGCCCAGAGCCUGAAUCAGCAUGUGUGUUAGUGGAAGCGUCUGGAAAGGCGCGCGAUACAGGGUGACAGCCCCGUACACAAAAGCGCAUGUGCUGUGAGCUCGAUGAGUAGGGCGGGACACGUGGUAUCCUGUCUGAAUAUGGGGGGACCAUCCUCCAAGGCUAAAUACUCCUGACUGACCGAUAGUGAACCAGUACCGUGAGGGAAAGGCGAAAAGAACCCCGGCGAGGGGAGUGAAAAAGAACCUGAAACCGUGUACGUACAAGCAGUGGGAGCCCCACCACCAAAGCAUUUGCUGUACCGCGUUGACGGAGCGAAGCGACGUCAAACCGAUAAAACAGCAGUGUAAAGUGAGCCGCAGGGCGCUUUGCGCGACAGCGCAAAGGCAGGCGGUUUCGCGUAGCGAAA
rnacentral:rRNA from 2 species